rnacentral:rRNA from 1 species
UACGGGGGGGGCAAGCGUUGUUCGGAAUUACUGGGCGUAAAGGGCUCGUAGGCGGCCAACUAAGUCAGACGUGAAAUCCCUCGGCUUAACCGGGGAACUGCGUCUGAUACUGGAUGGCUAGAGAUUGGGAGAGGGAUGCGGAAUUCCAGGUGUAGCGGUGAAAUUCGUAGAUAUCUGGAGGAACACCGGUGGCGAAGGCGGCAUCCUGGACCGGCAUUGACGCUGAGGAGCGAAAGCCAGGGGAGCAAGCGGG